rnacentral:pre_miRNA from 1 species
GUUGACCCCACUGGAGAGGUGUUUCAUAGGCGCUACAGUGGAAGUGACGUGGCGCCGUGGAAACAUCUACCUAGUGCGGUUGUA